rnacentral:rRNA from 1 species
CCUACGUGAGGCUGCAGUGGGGAAUAUUGCACAAUGGGGGAAACCCUGAUGCAGCGACGCCGCGUGAGUGAAGAAGUAUCUCGGUACGUAAAGCUCUAUCAGCAGGGAAGAAAAUGACGGUACCUGACUAAGAAGCUCCGUCUAACUACGUGCCAGCCGCCGCGGUAAUACGUAGGGGGCAAGCGUUAUCCGGCUUUACUGGGUGUAAAGGGAGCGUAGACGGCAGCACAAGUCUGGAGUGAAAUCCCGGGGCUUAACCCCGGAACUGCCUUGGAAACUGUGCGGCUGGAGUGCAGGAGGGGUAAGCGGAAUGCCUGGUGUAGCGGUGAAAUGCGUAGAUAUUAGGAGGAACACCGGUGGCGAAGGCAGCUUACUGGACUGUAACUGAUGUUGAGGCUCGAAAGCGUGGGGAGCAAACAGGAUUAGAUACCCCUGUAGUC